rnacentral:rRNA from 1 species
UACGUAGGGUGCGAGCGUUAAUCGGAAUUACUGGGCGUAAAGCGUGCGUAGGCGGUCCGCAAAGUCUGAUGUGAAAGCUCCGGGCUCAACCUGGGAACUGCAUUGGAAACUAACGGGCUCGAGUGUGGCAGAGGGGGGUGGAAUUCCACGUGCAGCAGUGAAAUGCGUAGAUAUCAGGAGGAAUACCGAUGGCGAAGGCAGCCCCCUGGGUCGAUACUGACGCUCAUGCACGAAAGCGUGGGGAGCAAACAGG